rnacentral:lncRNA from 1 species
AACAACUAUUAGAAAUCAACUACCACCUUACAAUAAUAUGGCAAAUUAUAGCCAAUCUAUCAUGAUUGUCAAUUCUCAAGCUAAGUCCUAUCCUUCUUGAUAUUAGACCAUCUCCACAUCCCUGCAACACCAUCACUUUGAUCUCUUCCACUUGGAACACCUUCACUUUGCCGCCUCCUUUGAAAUGGCUGCACAAUUUAGAUCCAUCAACACUAGCCAACUGCAGUACUGUUGUCGUCUUUCUUUCAGUCAACUUGAGCUCUUCUAGAAUUUGUUCCUUCUCUUUUUUUUGAUAAGCAAUCUUCUCUACUGAUCUAAAUCUUCUCCUAUGCCCCAUGACCAAAAACCUC